rnacentral:rRNA from 1 species
AAAACUUUCAACAACGGAUCUCUUGGUUCUGGCAUCGAUGAAGAACGCAGCGAAAUGCGAUAAGUAAUGUGAAUUGCAGAAUUCAGUGAAUCAUCGAAUCUUUGAACGCACAUUGCGCCCCUCGGUAUUCCGGGGGGNAUGCCUGUUCGAGCGUCAUU